CAAUAGCGUAUAUUAAAGUUGUUGCAGUUAAAAAGCUCGUAGUUGGAUUUCUGAAUUGAAUAUCCGGUCCGCUCGUCUCUGAUGAGUGCGUACUUAUGGUUAUUGGAUUCAUUUUUUGUGAGGACAUUUAUCUGUCAUUAAGUUGAUGGAUUUAUAGACUUGCAUCGUUUACUGUGAAAAAAUUAGAGUGUUUAAAGCAGGCGUUCGCCCAUUUGAAUACAUUAGCAUGGAAUAAUAAGAUAUGACUUUGGUGGUCUAUUUUGUUGGUUUGCACACCAGAGUAAUGAUUAAUAGGGACAGUUGGGGGUAUUCAUAUUUCAACGUCAGAGGUGAAAUUCUUAGAUCGUUGAAAGAUGACCUUAGGCGAAAGCAUUUACCAUGGAUGUUUUCAUUAA
rnacentral:rRNA from 1 species